UACGUAGGGUGCAAGCGUUAAUCGGAAUUACUGGGCGUAAAGCGUGCGCAGGCGGUUUUGUAAGUCUGUCGUGAAAUCCCCGGGCUCAACCUGGGAAUUGCGUUGGAGACUGCAAGGCUAGAAUCUGGCAGAGGGGGGUAGAAUUCCACGUGUAGCAGUGAAAUGCGUAGAGAUGUGGAGGAACACCGAUGGCGAAGGCAGCCCCCUGGGUCAAGAUUGACGCUCAUGCACGAAAGCGUGGG
rnacentral:rRNA from 1 species